UCGUACUACAGAGGUGCAAGGGUUGUCGCUGACCUUUCCAAAAGGUCGUGCACGCCCGAGCGCUCUCAAUCCAUUUCACCCCUUGUGCAUCACCGCGCGGGGUCGCUCCCUCUUGGCUCGCUUCGAGAGGGGGAGGCUCGCGUUUUUCACACAUAAACACCCUUCUGGUUUAGAAUGUCAUUCAUUUGCGAUCACACGCAAUCAAUA
rnacentral:misc_RNA from 1 species